rnacentral:rRNA from 1 species
UGGGGAAUAUUGGACAAUGGGCGCAAGCCUGAUCCAGCCAUGCCGCGUGAGUGAUGAAGGCCCUAGGGUUGUAAAGCUCUUUCACCGGUGAAGAUAAUGACGGUAACCGGAGAAGAAGCCCCGGCUAACUUCGUGCCAGCAGCCGCGGUAAUACGAAGGGGGCUAGCGUUGUUCGGAUUUACUGGGCGUAAAGCGCACGUAGGCGGACUUUUAAGUCAGGGGUGAAAUCCCGGGGCUCAACCCCGGAACUGCCUUUGAUACUGGAAGUCUUGAGUAGGGUAGAGGUGAGUGGAAUUCCGAGUGUAGAGGUGAAAUUCGUAGAUAUUCGGAGGAACACCAGUGGCGAAGGCGGCUCACUGGACCAUUACUGACGCUGAGGUGCGAAAGCGUGGGGAGCAAACAGG